UAUCUACAAGAUAGCCAUUAUAACUUUUAGCUCUAUAUAUUUCUUCUAUCACUUAGACAUCUUUGGAAACUUUUCCCAGGAAUGGGAAGAAAUUUAGCUCAAUGAAAGAUUUUCUGGCAACAAACAAAGGUUCUUCUCCUAUCAAGGAAAGGGCAGGACUAAGUCUCUUUUUUGUGAGGUCGCUUGUGCUUUGUGAAAAGGAAGAUAACAUAUCGAGUUUCCAGAUGAAGUGAAGCUCUAUUCUUUGAUUAGUUUGCUGUUUGAUGCAGAUAUUUGCAGGGGGAAAGUUUCUCAAAAGAAAGAUUAGUUUUGGUUUAGAAACCAUUGCUGCAACAUUGCCGAGAGAUAUUCAUGCAGCUCCACUUGAAAGCUUUGUUACUAAAGCCGCUGAAGUCAUUGGAAGCUGUAAAUCAAUGAGAGAUAUGGCUUUAUUUUGGUGCAAGGUUGUUGCUGAGGUAAGGGACUUUGUGAAGUGAACAGCUAGACUUUGCAAAAGAGAAAUAGUUCACAUUUUAGAAUAUUAAACAC